rnacentral:rRNA from 1 species
UCGGGAAUUUUGGGCAAUGGGCGAAAGCCUGACCCAGCAACGCCGCGUGAGGGAUGAAGUAUUUCGGUAUGUAAACCUCGAAAGAAUGGGAAGAAUAAAUGACGGUACCAUUUAUAAGCUCCGGCUAACUACGUGCCAGCAGCCGCGGUAAUACGUAGGGAGCAAGCGUUGUUCGGCUUUACUGGGCGUAAAGGGCGCGUAGGCGGCGCGGUAAGUCACUUGUGAAAUCUCUGAGCUUAACUCAGAACGGCCAAGUGAUACUGCUGUGCUAGAGUGCGGAAGAGGCAACCGGAAUUCUUGGUGUAGCGGUGUAAUGCGUAGAUAUCAAGAGGAACACCUGAGGCGAAGGCGGGUUGCUGGGCCGACACUGACGCUGAUGCGCGAAAGCCAGGGGAGCAAACG